rnacentral:tRNA from 1 species
AGUCCGUUGGUCUAGUGGUAUGACGUUCGCUUCACAGAUGAACCCAUUUCGUCCGCGAAAGGUCCUGGGUUCGAUCCCCUGACGGACUA